UACAGAGACUUCAAGCGUUAUCCGGAAUCAUUGGGCGUAAAGCGUACCGAUAGGUGGUUUUACAAGUCAGAAGUGAAAUCUUAAAGCUCAACUUUGAGACUGUCUUUUGAAACUGUAAAACUAGAGGGGCAAAGAAGAAGCUGGAACGAACGGUGUAGUAGUGAAAUGCGUUGAUAUCGUUCGGAACACCAAUAGCGUAGGCAGGCUUCUGGGUGCCACCUGACACUGCUAGGACGAAAGCGUGGGGAGCGAAUGGG
rnacentral:rRNA from 1 species